rnacentral:tRNA from 1 species
CCCGUGGCGCAGCCUGGAUAGCGCAGCAGCCUUCUAAGCUGACGGUCGUGGGUUCAAAUCCCAUCGGGCCCG